rnacentral:lncRNA from 1 species
AGUCCACCUUUCAAGUAACUACACUUAAAACAUUUUCGACUCACUAAUGCACUUCUCAAGUGACCACACUUAACUAUAUUCAAAACACAAGUUCACAUUUCCAGUACCUACACUUAAACAUUUUCAAGUCACUAACUCACUUCUCAAGUGACCACACUUGACUAUAUUCAAAACACAAGUCCACCUUUCAAGUAACUACACUUAAACAUUUUCGACUCACUAAUGCACUUCUCAAGUGACCACACUUCUCAAGUGACCACACUUGACUAUAUUCAAAACACAAGUCCACCUUUCAAGUCACUACACUUAACCAUUUUCAAAUAACUAACUCACUUUGUAAGUCACUACACUUAACCAUUUUCAAAUAAUUAAUUCACAUUUCAAAUCAUUAUACUUAACAAUUUUCAUGUAACUACUCCACAUUUCAAAUAAUUAUACUUAAUCAUUUCCAAGUCACUACACGUAAUCAUUCAUUUCAAGUCACUAUACUUAACCACUUUCAAGUAACUAAUUCACAUUUCAAGUAACUACACUUAACUAUUUUCAAGCCACUAGUUUACAAUUUCAAGUAACUACACUUAACCGUUUUCAAGUCACAAGUUUGCAAUUUCAAAUAACUACACUUAAUCAUUUUCAAGUCACUACACUUAAUAAUUUUCAAAUAACUUCUUCACAUUUCAUGUUACUUACCAUGUUCAAAUAGCUAAUUGGCAUUUCAAGUCACUAUAACCAUUUUCAACUCUCUAAUUCACAUUUCAAGUGACUAAACCUAACUAUGUUCAUGUCAUGAAUUCACAUUUCAACACUAAAUCAAUUUCAAGUCAUAAAUUCACAUUUUCAAGUGAUUACACUUACAAAUUUCAAAACACAAGUUCACCUUCAAGUAACUACACAAAACAAUUUUCAAGUCGCUAAUCCACUUCUCAAGUGACUUGAGCAUGUGCUUGGAGAAAAACAGAGCCAAUGAGGAAAUUAUGGACAAUGUUUCUAUUCCUAGUUCAUGGAUACUUGGAGAUUUAGUUGUGGAUCCAGGAAAUUAUGGACAAUGUUUCUAUUCAAGUCGUUCACCUAUUGUUUCAAUUUCACCUCUGUUAUACUUCAUCAAGUACAGAACUACUAACAUGAUCACUCACUUACCAACUCUAACCAAUCAAUAACCGUCUGGAAAUAAUUCAAACUCACUAAUAUGGUCGGUCACAUUCCAAACAAAGAAAUUCACCUAACAAAAAGCAUUCAUCCUAAGAAAUCAGUUUUACGUAACAGGGCAUAGAAUAUUCCUAACAAAAAAAAUCAUAAACCAAAGACUUUGUUAAGUUUGUCGUGUAUUGUAACAAACCGAAAUAUAAGUGAUCAAAGCUAUUGCAACUCGCACUAGAGCAGGGAAGCAGUAGAACCCGAAUAUGGGUACGAAACAUCAGGAAAAUAAUCAAGUCAUAUCAAGUAAUUUACAAGAAGCAAAAAUAUGGAAAUACCAUCUAAUUUAUCUACAGCAUUGACGGUGGCUGGAGGAGCUGGUAGCCGGAGGGACCGUUUGGUUGGUCGCCGUUGUUUUUGUUAUUGAGGCGGUUGGCGACGGAGUCGAGGCAGCGGCGGAGGAUGCAUGUGACGAAGAGAAGAUCUGGUGUUUGGUUCGGGUUUGUCGGUGGACUGCCUGACGGCGGCAUCUAUGGUGGUGACGAUGACGACGAGGGAAAGGCGGCGGUGGCGGCUGAUGGUCGUUUCACCGGUUCUGGUCGGUUUGCCGCUGUGGAUGGCGGUGGCGAUGGGUUCGCCGGACGGAGAGAUGGAGAAAGAAAGGAAGGCAGUUGGUGGUUCACCUACGGCUAAUUUAGCCGGUGGAGGCUCACCGGAGAAAGGGUGUUAGAUGGUGGUGGUUGGCUGACCUUUAUAGAGAGAAAAAAGGAGAGGAAGGAGAGGGGUAGGCGGCCAUUUUGUUGAAAAGGAGGGAUUAG